rnacentral:ncRNA from 2 species
AACAGAAUAUGAUAAUUUCUAUGUAUAACCUCAUUAAUAUGGUCUGAGGGUCUCUACCAGGAACCGUAAAAUCCUGAUUACAGAAAAUGAUUUCAUUUUU